rnacentral:tRNA from 20 species
AAGUCUGUUUGAUAAACAGAAGCUCAGGUCAAGUAAGUGUUCCACUUACAAUAACGCAGUUGAUGAUGAGGAGACUCAGAGUCAA